GCCACCUCAGCCACAGCCACCUCAGCCGCCUCAGCCAGCAGCCGAUUCCACAUCACAGCCCAGGUGGAGUUCACCACAGGACUUCUGUUGAAUACUUUCCUGUGUGUGUUUUGGGCCACAGCCGUUAGGACCAAACUGGUUUUAUACUGAAGAGAUGAGAAAGAUUCUCAGAUGCCUUAGGAUUAAAUGCAUGCCAGACUUGACCACCCCUGCUGAGAAGAGCAGAGAACCAUGCUUACCAGGAAGCCAGACUGUAUAAUGUGAAGCACCCUUUACCAACAGUUUGAUGGUGAAUCAGAAACAGAGAAUUACUGUGUGUGCUUGGGAAGACCACAGACAUCACUUUGAAGACACUGUGUGGUCCAUAGGUGAGGCAUGAUGCUUUGGACUGUUCAUUUUAUAGGCUUAUCUCUUAUGGUGUGCAUCCUUGUAAUUACUCAUCUACACUGAUUCUCAGAUAGGAAUGCAGAGUGAUUUAGAUCCUGUUUUCUGGUGGCUUUCUUCCCCUCAUUUAUCAUUCUGCACCAGGAUGAACUAUUCUAGGAAACACCCCAUAGAGGUGCCUGUUAAAUUGUAUGAUCCUGAGAAGAGGAUAUGAUGUUGUGAUACAUUUUGGGUGGCAAAAGAGAUUCUGUUCAGUGAAACCUUUGAGCAGAAUGCUAUACUGCAGUUCAAAAGUUUAAGACUUGUUUUACUUUGCAGUAAUUUUUUGCAAUAAUUCCAUGAGUCCUCUUCUCAAACUUUGCAAGAGAAAAGGCCUUGAGCUUUUAGAAAAAUCAGCAGAACCUUUUUUCUUCUCUCCUGACUCUGAAAAUGGGUAGAGUCAUAAGCUGCUAUGGUAGGAAACAGAGAGUCUGAGGGGAAUGUAAGGCUGAUUUCUUUUAUUGCUAGAUGAUUUUAUUUAACAUAAAUAUUCCCUGACUAAUCAGGAGAAGAUUAAGGCUGCCUAGAUCACUGAAAAGUUUUGUCACCAUUAUCAUUUGUAAAAUCUAACUGAAUGUAAUUUUACUAAAGAAAUCUUUUUUCCUUCUUGUGAAAAAAAGAAUAAGGAACUCUUCAACUAAUCCAGCUAACACUUCAUAUUUCGCUCCUAGAUUGCUUUAGUAAUCAGUUAUCAAUCCAUGUUUCAUUCUUGUGUAACCUAACCUCUGGGCAAAGAGAAAUAAUCCAUUUCAAUUUUAAAAUCCUCCUGGAAGGCAGUGAACCUGAUCCAAAGACUAGUGAAAUAAUGAAAAUGACUUCCUUUAGCCUUGAUGUGGGGUUCAGAUUAGCCAUUUUGUGGAGAAAUAAGGUAUUUAAUGAAUGAUUAGCUCUUUUUUUUUUUUUUUAAUCAUAGAAUAAAUCUGAAAUUAUUUAAUAGCAAUUCCUAAAGAGUGUCAAAGGUCAAGGGUUUUAGAGUUUUUGCUGGGCCAGAUUUUCCCUGGACGAAUUUCAAAGCUCUGGGAUUUUUUUAAUACCUUUUGCAAAUAUUCACAAGCAGGUUUUGCAAUGUCACCUUUUUAAUUGUCUCCCACUGAGCUGCUUACUACCUUGGCUCUCUUGUAGUAGCAAUCAGAAAUGCUAAGUGAAAGGUAAAGGUGGAUGUUUAAAAGCUGACCUGUGUCCAAGCUGAAGUAGCAUAGCACUUUGGGGAAAUAGUACACGUAGACACUGUAGAUGUGCCACUGUAGAUUAACCACACAAAAGGAAACAGCUACAGAUGUUAAAAGGUUAAUUACUAUUAGUGAAACAAAGCAGCAAAUGUGUUGUCAAUUUAACCUGCCUGACUGUGUCUUAUGAGCAACUGAAAUACUGACAAUGAUUAUGAACAAUAAUCAGUGAUGGUAAAUAAUAUGCUAAUUAUUUAAUGACUACAUUUAACUCAACAGUAUUAAUUAGAUACUUUAAAAAAAAGGGUUUAUCAGACAUUAUCACAGACUGAGAGCCUCAGUUUUAUGAAUAAAAAUGUUAGUCAACUAAA